AUGCACAGAGAUAGAAGGUUUCAACACUACCCAACAUUGGAGGAAUGGUUGGUGAAAUGGACAGAUCUCGCUGAAAUGGUGAGGAGCUUUCAUGCGGUGGUGUGGAACCUGGGCCCUCCGGAUGGUGCUGAAGGACAGCUCCCGAGGAAGGCCGCCUUCACAUUGGCCAUUUUGACUGGAGACUGCUGG